GACGAACGCUGGCGGGGUGCUUAACACAUGCAAGUCGAACGGCGUGGCGAGCGGGUGAGUAACAUGUGGGUGAUCUGGCUUGCACUUCGGGAUAAGCUUGGGGAACUGGGUCUAAUACCCGAUAGUGCAAGAGGAGCUCGCGGCCUAUCGGCUUUUUGGUGGGGUAAUGGCCUACCACGGCGUCGACGGGUAGCCGGCCUGGGAGGGUGGACGGCCCCAUGGGGCCUGAGAUACGGCGCAGAGUCCUACGGGAGGCAGCAGGGGAGAAGAUGGCACAAUGGGCGGAAGUCUAAGGCAGCGGCGCCGCGUGGGUGAUGAAGGCCUUCGGGUUGUAAACUCCUUUCGACAGGGACGCGGUAUCUGUAGAAGAAGCACCGGCUAACUACGUGCCAGCAGCCGCGGUAAUUC
rnacentral:rRNA from 1 species